UACGAAGGGGGCUAGCGUUGUUCGGAAUUACUGGGCGUAAAGCGCGCGCAGGCGGUUUUCCAAGUCAGUGGUGAAAGCCCGGAGCUCAACUCCGGAAUUGCCAUUGAAACUGCAAAACUUGAGUACGAGAGAGGUGAGUGGAAUUCCCAGUGUAGAGGUGAAAUUCGUAGAUAUUGGGAAGAACACCGGUGGCGAAGGCGGCUCACUGGCUCGUAACUGACGCUCAGGCACGAAAGCGUGGGGAGCAAACAGG
rnacentral:rRNA from 1 species